UUACGUUUGUUUUGUGGUACGAUAACGAAGUCGACUACAUUUCAGUCUUCCUUCCACCAGACUGAUACCGAUGCCUAUGGAACAGGUCAUGCAACACGCGGGCCUCAUGAUUGGAGAACCACCACCUGGUCCCAGCCUAUAAAUCCAAAGAUGGGAGUCAGAUGGCUGAGCGGUGAGGGAGUCGGGC